rnacentral:lncRNA from 1 species
GGGCUGAGGUUGGGAGUUGGAGGGUAGUAGGGAUAGGCCUCAGCUUACCCCACUCUUUUUGGCAUGCUAUAUAGAAACUGUAAACUUAGUUUCUUUUCCACCCAUUUCUGGGGCGUGUGAGUCUUCCCUGGUGAAGACUCAGGGUCCUUGGCACAAUAACAGCUGCAGGAGAGAGAACCAAAGUAUGGCAUAUUUUCAGUGAGUAAAAAUGAGCAGCUGACUAAAAUAUUUCUUACACCAAUUGAAUUCCCUUGAAAAUCACUACUUUGUGAUAGUAAUUCAUAACCACUGCGCUAAAUAAAGAUAGCAUGCAAAUUCCAGGACCACUCUUACUUACUUUAUCCACUACAUGCAGCUAUCAAAUCCAGCCAAACCUACUUUACCCUCUAUCACCUGAACAUGUGCCAAAGAUGUCAAAGGCAAUGCUGAAGCUAACCAAGGACCCAUGAUACUCAGGCAAACACAACAUAACAAAAAUCAUGUAAACAUGUUUGGUCGGGUGAAAAUCACCCGGCGAUAGUGUUGUGGGGUUAAGCAUACAGAUGGAAUAUAAGCAAUGUUUAUACACAAUAAAAUACAUUAUGCAAAAUAGAUCCUCAAACACAUAAUCACUGAUUAGAUUUAGCUACCUUUAGAGAAAAGCAGCUUGUAAACAUAGAAACUAAAGCCAAUUAAAAACCAUCUUUGCGAGGCUUUGAUUAAUGGUUUGCAAAUAAUUAAAACCCUGUGUUUGAUAAAAAUGAUGCAAAGACAACAUAAAAUGAAUCAAAUGUAGGAACAGAAAAAAGUCCAAAUAUAAGCUCAUUUUAAGUUUGAUGAAAGGAUGCUUCGUCCAGGAUUUCUACAAAGAACGUCAAAGUUGAUUCAGAUAUGUAGAUAUUUUUCAUAUGGAUCCUACCAAUGCAUGAUUACACUAUUUUACAUCAUAUCAUACAUUUUAAUAGUAUUUUAAUAUAUUUUGUAUUUGUAUUAAAGCUGUGGGAACAUUUUUGACAUCAAUGAAACAUUCUGAAAUUCACAUGGGAAAUUAUCUUUUGGUAUUCUAGGUAAACUUUGCCAAUAAGUCAGACUUGUGCCAAACACUGAAGCUACUUUCACCUUUUUUAAAUGAAAAUUGUAAAAUUUCCACUGUGAAUGAUAUGAUAAUUGCACAUCUUCACCAUCAGAUCAGUUUUUCAUGUCUUAAUUGUGAAGUAGGCCCACUGCCUUUUUUUGCAUGAGUCACAGUUUAAAAGAUAGAGUGAUAUAACUUCAUUGUUCACUCUUUUUUUAGCUUUCCAUCAACUUUGCAGCCUUGGGGACUGACUCACACUGGGCAAAAGGGAGGCUCGACUGCUCCCAUCACCUCUGCUCCCCUCCCCCCUCUCUUUUUAUGGACCUACCCUCUGAAAAAAGGUCAGGAGGUCAUUCAGUAGUCUAUUGUGCUGUCAGUGAUGGCGAGAGUUAAUAAAAUCUGAGUAUGAAGAGGUCAAUAAUGAGAUUUAAUGAAUUAUAGAUCAUACAUGUUCAUCUUCAGGAGGGUUUUCCUCUCAGUAGCAUCCUCUGUCUGAGUCUGAAUCUGGAAUAAUUCAUUUUCUCUGCUGGGCUCUUGAUCUGAUGAGGUUAUCACUGCCUGUCUACAUAUGCAGUUUUCCCUCUCUUUCAGCCGGAGAGCACCCUUCAUGCCUGCCUGACCCACAAUCUGAUGUCACACAUCUGUCAAGGAACGGAGGCUUGAUAAAGCUUUGAUAAACAACAUGGUUUGUCGUUUCUCCACAGCCUCUCUCUCUCUCUCUCUUUCUCUCACUCUCUCCCUCUCGCUCUCUGACAGCAAGGUCAGCAGUUGUAUUAUGAGAGCAGAUGUGCGUACACCCUGUCCAGCCCCGAGAACAACAAGGGGGACAUUGAUUUUCCUGUAAUAACAUCACUCUGUGUACUGCGGGGACUAAAUUAAUCUCAUAUCUGCUGUAUUAUGACCUGCGCUGAUUGUUCAUUAGGACUAAAGCACAUAGCUGAAAGAUGAGGCAUUGUGUUAGCAUUAGCAUUGUUGUGGGGGAGGUUAGCUGGGGUUCACAGACAGACUCUACCAGAGCACAGUGAUAAGAGCAGACUCAGUCGUACUGUUAUUGGACUCAGUGCUAAGUGGACCCUGGGGGCAGACACUGCACUGAGUCGUUUUCAUACAUCCUGUCUGGGAUCAAUGAGGGAUAUUGAAAUAUGUGUGCAGUUGGUCAGAGGAUGUUUCUGUAAUUUGGGGUAAUGAUGCUUGCUAAAGAGCUGGUCUGGGGUCACAAACAUACACACACCUGAAACGCAGAGCCUCAGGUGUCAGGCGGCUCAUGGUGGACUUCUCAGGACUUUUCUGGUGUGUGCCAGUGGGCGGAGUCAAAUUCCACUUCAGCCACAAUGAAAGCUAGAGUUGUAUUUUCGACAAGUGGUCAAUCAGUGGUUCUAAAAUCAUUUGGAUUGUUCUUUAUUUAAAGUGUUGGGCUGAUUCUGCCCUUAUAUGUAAUCUGAAUAUAAAUGAAAUACUAUGAAUUACCAGGUUCAAAGCCAGGACCAGGCCCAAGGAUCAUUUCUUUGAUCAAAACCAACACAAGACUUAAAGGGAUAUUCAGGCGUAAUACUAAUUUAGGGUAACUCUGAGUUAGACACCCUCUCGACAGAUGAAUGUUGCCGAUUUCUUGCUUCUCUAGUUAUACCAACUUUAGUAACGACUGCAGGAUAGUAAUACACAGCGGUCUUAGGAGCCACACACAAACCUCAACCAAAACG